GGGCCGGUAACUCAGUGGUAGAGGUAAGUUGGCACCCGCUCAUAGCUUUCAAAAAUCUAGUCUAAUUCCCUGGUUCAGUGUAGGACUGCAGCCCACCAAAGCCGCCUUCCCGAAGUCACCGGUUCGACUCCGGUUCGGCCCU
rnacentral:tRNA from 1 species